CUAUUUUAAUGUCUAUGUGCGUGUGGAAAGUCAUUUCUUUAUAAAUAUUUUUUUAUAGUUUGUAGAUACGUCAUUAGUAAAUUCGGUAAUUUUAAUUUCCAGAGAAAUCACAAAAACACAGUGAAGGUAAUUAAAUAUGAUAACCACUGAAUAUAUGUUUGUUUAUUUGAUAGAAAGAAACAACUUUUCUGAAAUCGUACAUAUGUACUAUAUAUAUUUGUAUUGCUGAGCAAACUGCAGCGUGAUGGCCAUUCUAGUGUUGUGAUCAUAACAAUAAAACGUGUUUAGUAUUACUCCACAAUUAUUGUUUGAUCGCUAGGGAAACUUCGAAGCAGUAGGGGAUGUCACAGACGAUGAAUCUGAAAGCUUUUCAUGGACGUUUGGAUUUAGGUGAUUUUACCUAGAGAGGCAGAGCCAAUCAUAAUGAAGGGGCCCAAGCAGGACAAGUCAAACAGCACUGGAAAUAGUAAAUUACCUAUGACCGCCCCAAUUCUGCCUACCAUCAUAGUUAGACUAACUGCCAUAGUCCUGAAGAGAAGUAUUAAAUAAACGAUAAGAUACUUGACACGUAGAAUAAAGAAAUUAGUAGAAAAUGAUAUAUCUUUGUACCUUAAACACGUCGGGAAAUUAUCGACGAUUACGUUUACGACACAAGCACCACCUAUACUCGACAUGGCUACGAAAACUGAACACAAACCAAGAAUACUGUUAGUGUCUUCAGCCCAGUAAAGCGAGCCACAACAAGCAGCUGCUACAACGAAACAAGUUGCUGCAAUAAAUAGAAAUCGUAAAUUAUUAC